rnacentral:rRNA from 1 species
UGCAUGGCUGUCGUCAGCUCGUGUCGUGAGAUGUUGGGUUAAGUCCCGCAACGAGCGCAACCCUUGUCUGCUGUUGCCAUCAGGUAAUGCUGGGCACUCUGCAGAGACUGCCGGUGAUAAACCGGAGGAAGGUGGGGAUGACGUCAAGUCAGCAUGGCCUUUAUGUCUGGGGCUACGCACGUGCUACAAUGGCCGAUACAAACCGUCGCAAAACCGCAAGGUGGAGCUAAUCGGAGAAAAUCGGUCUCAGUUCGGAUUGUAGGCUGCAACUCGCCUGCAUGAAGUUGGAAUCGCUAGUAAUCGCGGAUCAGCACGCCGCGGUGAAUACGUUCCCGGGCCUUGUACACACCGCCCGUCACAUCACGAAAGCCGGUUGUACUAGAAGUCGCCACAUCAACCCGCAAGGGAGAGAGGCGCCUAAGGUAUGGUCGGUGAUUGGGGUGAAGUCGUAACAAGGUAGGCGUAGAUGA